AAAUUGAAGAGUUUGAUCAUGGCUCAGAUUGAACGCUGGCGGCAGGCCUAACACAUGCAAGUCGAACGGUAACAGGAAGCAGCUUGCUGCUUUGCUGACGAGUGGCGGACGGGUGAGUAAUGUCUGGGAAACUGCCUGAUGGAGGGGGAUAACUACUGGAAACGGUAGCUAAUACCGCAUAACGUCGCAAGACCAAAGAGGGGGACCUUCGGGCCUCUUGCCAUCGGAUGUGCCCAGAUGGGAUUAGCUAGUAGGUGGGGUAACGGCUCACCUAGGCGACGAUCCCUAGCUGGUCUGAGAGGAUGACCAGCCACACUGGAACUGAGACACGGUCCAGACUCCUACGGGAGGCAGCAGUGGGGAAUAUUGCA
rnacentral:rRNA from 1 species